rnacentral:rRNA from 1 species
CCCAGACUCCUACGGGAGGCAGUAGUGGGGAAUAUUGCACAAUGGGGGAAACCCUGAUGCAGCGACGCCGCGUGAGUGAAGAAGUAUUUCGGUAUGUAAAGCUCUAUCAGCAGGGAGGAAAAUGACGGUACCUGAUUAAGAAGCCCCGGCUAACUACGUGCCAGCAGCCGCGGUAAUGCGUAGGGGGCAAGCGUUAUCCGGAUUUACUGGGUGUAAAGGGAGCGUAGACGGUGAUGCAAGUCAGAAGUGAAAGCCCGGGGCUCAACUCCGGGACUGCUUUUGAAACUGUGUAACUGGAGUGCAGGAGAGGUAAGCGGAAUUCCUGGUGUAGCGGUGAAAUGCGUAGAUAUCAGGAGGAACCCCAGUGGCGAAGGCGGCUUACUGGACUGUAACUGACGUUGAGGCUCGAAAGCGUGGGGAGCAAACAGGAUUAGAUCCCCCAGUA